UACGGAGGGGGCUAGCGUUGUUCGGAAUUACUGGGCGUAAAGCGCACGUAGGCGGCUUUGUAAGUUAGAGGUGAAAGCCCAGGGCUCAACCCUGGAAUUGCCUUUAAGACUGCAUCGCUAGAAUUGUGGAGAGGUAAGUGGAAUUCCGAGUGUAGAGGUGAAAUUCGUAGAUAUUCGGAAGAACACCAGUGGCGAAGGCGGCUCACUGGUCCGGUACUGACGCUGAGGUGCGAAAGCGUGGGGAGCAAACAGG
rnacentral:rRNA from 1 species